GUUGAAGAACGCAGCGAAAUGCGAUAAGUAAUGUGAAUUGCAGAAUUCAGUGAAUCAUCGAGUUUUUGAACGCAUAUUGCGCCCUCUGGUAUUCCGGGGGGCAUGCCUGUUCGAGCGUCAUUAAAUAACCCUCAAGCAUAGCUUGGUGUUGGGCUUUUUUACGUCCUUGACUGGGAUGGGCCUAAAAAUUAGUGGCGAUGGCUUUUUUACUUUCAAGCGUAGUAAAUCUCGUCUUGCUAAAGAGGAAAAAGAUUUUUUUUCUGCCAAAAAUUUUAACAUUUAAAGUUGACCUCGGAUCAGGUAGGAUUACCCGCUGAACUUAAGCAUAUCAAUAAGCGGAGGA
rnacentral:misc_RNA from 1 species